GCAUUGCAGAGGAGACGGGGUGGGGGUGGUGUCUUACUCAUUUGGCCAAUUCCCCUUGCAGCCACAACCACCCAGCUACCAUGGGGAUGGCUCAAUCCUCAUUACUGGAGCUGCAGCGGUGCUGCCUCAGGACCGGGUGGAUUGUGGUGGACACCUUUCCACUCACCUCAAAUGCAGAGAUACAGCACCUCAUGUCCCCUAGAGGUAGAAGCCACCCGUGAUCAGCUCUCCCCCCUCCUCCUGAAACUAUUUCCCAGCUCCACCAGUUCCACAGUGGUGCUGCCCUGCGCUGUGUCAUGCUGCCAUCUUUCAGGCAGGGGAGACAGUUCCACAGUGGUGCCGCCCUGUGCUGUGUUGUGCUGCCAUCUUUCAGGCAGGGGAGAGUUUUGUGGGUCUACUCCCUGAGGGCGUGAUUGGCCUGCCUUUAUCUUGGUGGUGUCCACUAGAUGUGCAUCGGGGGCUGGUAACCUCUAUGGGCUUAUCUCAGUCCUUGUCCUCACUCUCCUCCCAGCGGGGCUCUCCAUGGGGCCCUAGGACUUAGGGCCCCAGGAUGAUUGGGUCAUGAUAGUCCUGACUAGUAGAUGUGGCAGUCAGCGACCCUUCAAAUGGGCUACCCAAUGAUCCAGAGUCUCCAUUUUGCCGCCCUGUUCUCGCAGGCAGGACAGUAAGUCUCUGAUGUUUCAACCUGAGAUAAUCUUGUAUCUCUUUCUGGUCAUAAAUUUUCUUGUACUUGAUGCACCUUUGCCUGUGCUGUGAGCUGAGCCUCAGUGUCUGUUUGGAGUGUAGUCA
rnacentral:lncRNA from 1 species